rnacentral:rRNA from 1 species
AGUGAACGCUGGCGGUAGGCCUAACACAUGCAAGUCGAACGGCAGCACAGUAAGAGCUUGCCCUUACGGGUGGCGAGUGGCGGACGGGUGAGGAAUACAUCGGAAUCUACUUUUUCGUGGGGGAUAACGUAGGGAAACUUACGCUAAUACCGCAUACGACCUACGGGUGAAAGCAGGGGAUCUUCGGACCUUGCGCGAUUGAAUGAGCCGAUGUCGGAUUAGCUAGUUGGCGGGGUAAAGGCCCACCAAGGCGACGAUCCGUAGCUGGUCUGAGAGGAUGAUCAGCCACACUGGAACUGAGACACGGUCCAGACUCCUACGGGAGGUAGCAGUGGGGAAUAUUGGACAAUGGGCGCAAGCCUGAUCCAGCCAUACCGCGUGGGUGAAGAAGGCCUUCGGGUUGUAAAGCCCUUUUGUUGGGAAAGAAAAGCAGCAGGUUAAUACCCCGCUGUUCUGACGGUACCCAAAGAAUAAGCACCGGCUAACUUCGUG